GUUUUUAUCAGUGCAUUAUAGUUAUACAUAAUAUUGGGUUCAUUUUGACAUAAUCAUACAUGCUUAGAAUACAGUUUGGUCCAUUUUAGUCACCCGUAUUUACUCUUUUUCUCUCCUCUCCUCCUGUUCCCCUUCCUCUGCUGUUCUUCCUUCUAUUCAUUUAAUGUUUUUUAAAUUGGUGCUUUAUACAUACACAUAAAGCUGAAAUUCACUGUGGUAUAUUCAUAUAUGGUCAUAGCAUAAUUUGGUCAAUUUCAUUCCACAUUUUCUCUUUUUUUCAUCCCUUCCCCUGUAUCACCUUCCUCUACUCCAUUGAAUUCAUUUCUAUAUUCAUGGUAUCUCCCCUCUUAAAAAAACAUUUUUAAUUGGUGCAUUAUAGCUGCACAUAGUGGUGGGGCUUGUUGUUAUAUAUAAAUACAUGCAAACAAUAUAACAAAAUAAUUUGGCCAAUAUAUUUCCCCAGUGUUUCCCCUUUCCCUUCCCUCCUCUUUCCCUUUGGUCCUUUUCCUUUAUUCUACUGAUCCCCCUUUGAUUUUCAUGAGACCCACUUCUUUUCUUUUUCCUCUCUAGCUUCCACGUGAGAGAAAACUUGUGAUCCUUGACCUUCUGAGUUUGCCUUUUUCACCUAACAUAGUGAUCUCCAGUUCCAUCCAUUUUCCUGCAAAUGACAUAAUUCCAUGUUACUUUGUGGCUGAAUAAAAGUCCAUUGGGUGUAUAUACCAUAUUUUCUUUAUCCAUUCUUCUGUUGACGGUUAACUAGGCUGGUUUCAUAGUUUGAUUAUUGUGAAUUGUGCUUCCAUAAACAUGGGUAUGCAUGUAUUGGUAUAGUAUGAUGACUUCAAUUCUUUAGAAAUGGUAUAGAUGGGUCAUAUAUGGUGUCUCCAUUCCUAGUCUUUUGAGGAAAUUCUGUACUGAUUUUCAUGGUGGUUGUACUAAUUUGCAAUCCCACCAACAGCGUUAAAGUGUUUCCCCUUCAUCCUCUCCAGCAUUUAUUAUUGUUUGUAUUCUUGAUGGCUGCCAUUCUAACAACUGAGAUGAGAUCUCAGUGUGGGUUUGAUUUGCAUUUCCCUAAUUGCUAAUUAUGUUGAACAUUUUAGGGGCCUUAUUAAGAAAGUUGUUGCCU
rnacentral:lncRNA from 1 species